rnacentral:rRNA from 1 species
CCUACGGGAGGCAGCAGUGAGGAAUAUUGGUCAAUGGGCGCAAGCCUGAACCAGCCAUGCCGCGUGAAGGAAGAAGGUUCUAUGGAUUGUAAACUUCUUUUAUUUAGGAAUAAACCCCUGGUCGAGCAUCAGGGCUGAAGGUACUAAAUGAAUAAGCACCGGCUAACUCCGUGCCAGCAGCCGCGGUAAUACGGAGGGUGCAAGCGUUAUCCGGAAUCAUUGGGUUUAAAGGGUCCGCAGGCGGAUUUAUAAGUCAGUGGUGAAAUCCUGCAGCUCAACUGCAGAACUGCCAUUGAUACUGUAAGUCUUGAAUUUGAUCGGAGUGGGCGGAAUGUGUAGUGUAGCGGUGAAAUGCAUAGAUAUUACACAGAACACCGAUAGCGAAGGCAGCUCACUAGGUUAUAAUUGACGCUCAUGGACGAAAGCGUGGGGAUCAAACAGGAUUAGAUACCCUGGUAGUCCACGCCGUAAACGA